rnacentral:ncRNA from 1 species
CGCCGGCGGGGGCCUCGGGAAGAGUUAUCUUUUCUGCUUAACGGCCUGCCAACCCUGGAAACGGUUCAGCCGGAGGUAGGGUCCAGUGCCCGGAAGAGCACCGCACGUCGCGCGGUGUCCGGUGCGCCCCCGGCGGCCCAUGAAAAUCCGGAGGACCGAGUACCGUUCACGCCCGGUCGUACUCAUAACCGCAUCAGGUCUCCA